GAGGGGAUAGCUCAAGUAGUAGAGCACAUGCUUAGCAAGCACAAGGUCCUGGGUUCGAUCCCCAGCACCUUCU
rfam:Camelus ferus unplaced genomic scaffold scaffold854, whole genome shotgun sequence.